rnacentral:rRNA from 1 species
GGAAUUUUGCCCAAUGGGGGAAACCCUGAUCCAGGGACCCCGGGGGAGGGAUGAAGCCUUUGGGUUGUAACCUUUUUUCAGCAGGGAAGAAGCCCAAGUGACGGUACCUGCAGAAGAAGCGCCGGCUAAUUAGGGCCAGCAGCCGCGGUAAUACGUAGGGCGCAAGCGUUGUCCGGAAUUAUUGGGCGUAAAGAGCUCGUAGGCGGUUUGUCGCGUCUGGUGUGAAAACUCGAGGCUCAACCUCGAGCUUGCAUCGGGUACGGGCAGACUAGAGUGCGGUAGGGGAGACUGGAAUUCCUGGUGUAGCGGUGGAAUGCGCAGAUAUCAGGAGGAACACCGAUGGCGAAGGCAGGUCUCUGGGCCGCAACUGACGCUGAGGAGCGAAAGCAUGGGGAGCGAACAGGAUUAGAUACCCUGGUAGUCCAUGCCGUAAACGUUGGGCACUAGGUGUGGGGCUCAUUCCACGAGUUCCGUGCCGCAGCAAACGCAUUAAGUGCCCCGCCUGGGGAGUACGGCCGCAAGGCUAAAACUCAAAGGAAUUGACGGGGGCCCGCACAAGCGGCGGAGCAUGCGGAUUAAUUCGAUGCAACGCGAAGAACCUUACCAAGGCUUGACAUGCACGGGAAGCCACCAGAGAUGGUGGUCUCUUUGGACACUCGUGCACAGGUGGUGCAUGGUUGUCGUCAGCUCGUGUCGUGAGAUGUUGGGUUAAGUCCCGCAACGAGCGCAACCCUCGUCCCAUGUUGCCAGCGGGUUAUGCCGGGGACUCAUGGGAGACUGCCGGGGUCAACUCGGAGGAAGGUGGGGAUGACGUCAAAUCAUCAUGCCCCUUAUGUCUUGGGCUUCACGCAUGCUACAAUGGCCGGUACAAAGGGCUGCGAUACCGUAAGGUGGAGCGAAUCCCAAAAAGCCGGUCUCAGUUCGGAUUGGGGUCUGCAACUCGACCCCAUGAAGUCGGAGUCGCUAGUAAUCGCAGAUCAGCAACGCUGCGGUGAAUACGUUCCCGGGCCUUGUACACACCGCCCGUCAAGUCACGAAAGUCGGUAACACCCGAAGCCCAUGGCCCAACCGUCGCGGGGGGAGUGGUCGAAGUGUCCCU